rnacentral:lncRNA from 1 species
AUUUCGAGAGAAAAGCUUAUUGAUCUGGAUUAUUGGCCAGAAGUUCCCAAAAUCAAUGGAAAUUAGUCUUUCUGGAACUGUAACUUUUGGAGCCAAGAGCCAUGAGAAGCAGCCAUUUGACCCAAUUUGUACUGGAGAAACAGCAUAUUUAAAGCUUCAUUUUAGGAUCUUAGAUUACACACUUACUGGAUGUUAUGCAGAUCAGCAUUCAGUUCAAGUUUUUGCAUCAGGAAAACCAAAAAUAAGUGCACGUAAGUUACACAGAUUCAAACUAACUUAAGGGAAUUAAAAUGGUGUUUGCAGUUAUUACCUAAGGUAAAAUUUGAAUGUAACAGAACUUAGAGAUUAGAGAAUAAUCCCAAUUUAUAAAAUUCUGGGCUGAUUCUACCCCACAUAACAGUUUGUGUACUUUACACUGCCCUCUGCCGCCUUCUUGUUUAUAAAGUGGUCUGGAUAAGCAAAGAUUGGGAUAGAGGGGAACUUCAGUGUAAAAUUG